AACGAACGCUGGCGGCAUGCCUAACACAUGCAAGUCGAGCGAGGACUUCGGUCCUAGCGGCGGACGGGUGAGUAACGCGUGGGAACGUGCCCUUUGCUUCGGAAUAGCCCUGGGAAACUGGGAGUAAUACCGGAUGAGCCCUUUGGGGGAAAGAUUUAUCGGCGAAGGAUCGGCCCGCGUUGGAUUAGGUAGUUGGUGGGGUAAUGGCCUACCAAGCCGACGAUCCAUAGCUGGUUUGAGAGGAUGAUCAGCCACACUGGGACUGAGACACGGCCCAGACUCCUACGGGAGGCAGCAGUGGGGAAUCUUAGACAAUGGGGGAAACCCUGAUCUAGCCAUGCCGCGUGAGCGAUGAAGGCCUUAGGGUUGUAAAGCUCUUUCAGCUGGGAAGAUAAUGACGGUACCAGCAGAAGAAGCCCCGGCUAACUCCGUG
rnacentral:rRNA from 1 species